GACGAACGCUGGCGGCGUGCUUAACACAUGCAAGUCGAACGGAAAGGCCCUGCUUUUGUGGGGUGCUCGAGUGGCGAACGGGUGAGUAACACGUGAGUAACCUGCCCUUGACUUUGGGAUAACUUCAGGAAACUGGGGCUAAUACCGGAUAGGAGCUCCUGCUGCAUGGUGGGGGUUGGAAAGUUUCGGCGGUUGGGGAUGGACUCGCGGCUUAUCAGCUUGUUGGUGGGGUAGUGGCUUACCAAGGCUUUGACGGGUAGCCGGCCUGAGAGGGUGACCGGCCACAUUGGGACUGAGAUACGGCCCAGACUCCUACGGGAGGCAGCAGUGGGGAAUAUUGCACAAUGGGCGGAAGCCUGAUGCAGCAACGCUGCGUGCGGGAUGACGGCCUUCGGGUUGUAAACCGCUUUCGCCUGUGACGAAGCGUGAGUGACGGUAAUGGGUAAAGAAGCACCGGCUAACUACAUG
rnacentral:rRNA from 1 species